rnacentral:piRNA from 1 species
UUAUCUGAGAGAAAGGAAGGUGGAC